rnacentral:rRNA from 1 species
GUUGGACAAGGUUUCCGUAGGUGAACCUGCGGAAGGAUCAUUACCACACCAAAAAACACCCCACGUGAACGUAUUCUGUAUGAGGCUUUGUGCUGCUUUUCGGAGCGGCUAGCCGAAGGUUUCGCAAGAGACCGAUGUAACUUUAAUUCCUUUUAAAAAAUGACUGAUCAAAACUGCAGACAGAAAUGUGUGCAUUCAAUUGAAAUACAACUUUCAACAGUGGAUGUCUAGGCUCGCACAUCGAUGAAGAACGCUGCGAACUGCGAUACGUAAUGCGAAUUGCAGAAUUCAGUGAGUCAUCAAAAUUUUGAACGCAUAUUGCACUGCCGGGUUAGUCCUGGCAGUAUGUUUGUAUCAGUGUCCGUUAACAACAACUUGUUUCAUUUUUGAAGCAGAGUGUGAAGCGUCUUGUUUCGGCAAGUCCUUUUAAACGACGGUACCUGUACGUCCUUGUGAGAUGUAUUAUUGAAAGGUAUUUACGAGUUCGAUUUCGAAAGUCCUGUGUGAUGGUACACAGUUUCGAGGGAAGAACGAAUUGCGGUAGUUUUGCUUGUACUUCGGUACGAGUGGACACAUAUUGCUUUUUGUGAUUUUCGAGAGAUUGUUGCUGGAAGGCAGGAUGCGAGGUCGGAGUUGUUUGUACUGGUGCAUUUCUUGAUGUAUGGAGGCAAAUUGGGAAAUCAAUCCAAUUUGGACCUGAUAUCAAACAAGACUACCCGCUGAACUUAAGCAUAUCAUAGCCGG